UCGAGCGAACGGACGAGAAGCUUGCUUCUCUGAUGUUAGCGGCGGACGGGUGAGUAACACGUGGAUAACCUACCUAUAAGACUGGGAUAACUUCGGGAAACCGGAGCUAAUACCGGAUAAUAUGUUGAACCGCAUGGUUCAAAAGUGAAAGACGGUCUUGCUGUCACUUAUAGAUGGAUCCGCGCUGCAUUAGCUAGUUGGUAAGGUAACGGCUUACCAAGGCAACGAUGCAUAGCCGACCUGAGAGGGUGAUCGGCCACACUGGAACUGAGACACGGUCCAGACUCCUACGGGAGGCAGCAGUAGGGAAUCUUCCGCAAUGGGCGAAAGCCUGACGGAGCAACGCCGCGUGAGUGAUGAAGGUCUUCGGAUCGUAAAACUCUGUUAUUAGGGAAGAACAUAUGUGUAAGUAACUGUGCACAUCUUGACGGUACCUAAUCAGAAAGCCACGGCUAACUACGUGCCAGCAGCCGCGGUAAUACGUAGGUGGCAAGCGUUAUCCGGAAUUAUUGGGCGUAAAGCGCGCGUAGGCGGUUUUUUAAGUCUGAUGUGAAAGCCCACGGCUCAACCGUGGAGGGUCAUUGGAAACUGGAAAACUUGAGUGCAGAAGAGGAAAGUGGAAUUCCAUGUGUAGCGGUGAAAUGCGCAGAGAUAUGGAGGAACACCAGUGGCGAAGGCGACUUUCUGGUCUGUAACUGACGCUGAUGUGCGAAAGCG
rnacentral:rRNA from 1 species